rnacentral:ncRNA from 28 species
AGCAUGAUUACAAGUUUAGGUUUAUGACAUUUCAGCGCGCUGAAUAUGCUGUAGAGGUUAAAUGGGAAGUGAGACAAUCGCAGGUCGAUUCAGCCUUCGCUGCCCCCGCAACGGUAUGGUUUUGCUAAAAUAUAUUUUUAGAGUACAGAACAAGAGCCCGGAACCAGCCACAACAGUAUCGUUAUCA